rnacentral:rRNA from 1 species
AUACGUAGGGGGCGAGCGUUGUCCGGAAUCAUUGGGCGUAAAGCGCGUGUAGGCGGCUUGGUAAGUCUGGUGUGAAACCUUGGGGCUUAACCCUGAGCGUGCACUGGAUACUGCUUGGCUUGAGUCCGGGAGGGGAGAGCGGAAUUCCUAGUGUAGCGGUGAAAUGCGCAGAUAUUAGGAAGAACACCGGUGGCGAAGGCGGCUCUCUGGAACGGUACUGACGCUGAGACGCGAAAGCGUGGGGAGCGAACAGGAUUAGAUACCCUGGUAGUCCACGCCGUAAACGAUGGGCACUAGAUGUGGGCGGUGUCGACUCCGUCCGUGUCGAAGCUAACGCAUUAAGUGCCCCGCCUGGGGAGUACGGCCGCAAGGCUAAA